rnacentral:rRNA from 1 species
CCUACGGGAGGCAGCAGUGAGGAAUAUUGGUCAAUGGGCGGAAGCCUGAACCAGCCAUGCCGCGUGCAGGAGGAAGGCCCUAUGGGUCGUAAACCUCUUUUGCCGGGGGAUAAAGACAGCUACGUGUAACUGUUUGAAGGUACCCGGAGAAUAAGCAUCGGCUAACUCCGUGCCAGCAGCCGCGGUAAUA